rnacentral:misc_RNA from 1 species
GAUGAAGAACGUAGCGAAAUGCGAUACGUAAUGUGAAUUGCAGAAUUCAGUGAAUCAUCGAGUCUUUGAACGCACAUUGCGCCCCCUGGUAUUCCGGGGGGCAUGCCUGUCCGAGCGUCAUUGCUGCCCUCAAGCACGGCUUGUGUGUUGGGCCUCCGUCCUCCUCCCGGGGGACGGGCCCGAAAGGCAGCGGCGGCACCGCGUCCGGUCCUCGAGCGUAUGGGGCUUCGUCACCCGCUCUUGUAGGCCCGGCCGGCGCUUGCCGACACAUCAAUCUUUUUUCCAGGUUGACCUCGGAUCAGGUAGGAUUACCCGCUGAACUUAAGCAUAUCAAUAAGCGGAGGA